rnacentral:rRNA from 1 species
GAUGAAAGAUGGCGGAGGGCCUAAUACAUGCAAGUCGAGCGAACAGACGAGGAGCUUGCUCCUCUGACGUGAGCGGCGGACGGGUGAGUAACACGUGGAUAACCUACCUAUAAGACUGGGAUAACUUCGGGAAACCGGAGCUAAUACCGGAUAAUAUAUUGAACCGCAUGGUUCAAUAGUGAAAGACGGUUUUGCUGUCACGUAUAGAUGGAUCCGCGCCGCAUUAGCUAGUUGGUAAGGUAACGGCUUACCAAGGCAACGAUGCGUAGCCGACCUGAGAGGGUGAUCGGCCACACUGGAACUGAGACACGGUCCAGACUACUACGGGAGGCCGCAGUAGGGAAUCUUCCGCAAUGGGCGAAAGCCUGACGGAGCAACGCCGCGUGAGUGAUGAAGGUCUUCGGAUCGUAAAACUCUGUUAUUAGGGAAGAACAAAUGUGUAAGUAACUAUGCACGUCUUGACGGUACCUAAUCAGAAAGCCACGGCUAACUACGUG